UAGGGAAUAUUAGAAAUGGACGAAAGUCUGAUCUAGCAACACCGCGUGUGCGAAGAAGGCCUUCGGGUCGUAAAGCACUUUUUGGAAGGAAUAGGAAGGAAUGUACUUCCAGAAUAAGUCUCGGCUAACUACGUGCCAGCAGCCGCGGUAACACGUAGGAGGCGAACGUUAUCCGGAUUUACUGGGCGUAAAGCGCGUGUAGGUGGUUCUGUAAGUAGGGCGUGAAAGCUCCUGGCUCAACUGGGAGAGGCCGUUCUAAACUACAGAACUAGAGGAUGGUAGAGGGAGGUGGAAUUCCAGGUGUAGCGGUGGAAUGCGCAGAUAUCCGGAGGAACACCAGUGUCGAAAGCGGCCUCCUGGCCCAUUUCUGACGCUCAGACGCGAAAGCUAGGGUAGCAAACG
rnacentral:rRNA from 1 species